rnacentral:lncRNA from 10 species
GCAGUGAGUGAUUGAAUUACUAUUUGUUCAAUAUCACAGAGAGCAUAGUAUUACAUAAGGGCUUUGGGGAAUAUUUUAGCAUUAGGUAUAUCUCCUAAUGCUAUCCCUCCUCUCUCCCCCUACGCCACAACACUCCCUGGUGUGUGAUGUUCCCCUUCCUGUGUCCAUGUGUUCUCAUUGUUCAGUUCCCACCUAUGAGUGAGGCGAUGCCUCACCCUGCUUCAGCUCACACUCGGUGCACUGCACCCACUGUCCUGCACCCUGCAGUGUAGCAAA